UGUAAGCAGGUUAUGGGGAAAGGGUAGUUAAUUGUGGAGUAAUGUUUUCAGAGGGUGCACGGAGGAGAUGUGAGUUGCAGAAGUAGGAGGCUGGGUCAGAAGAGAAGCAGCACAGACCUAGGAAAGGGAGUAUGUGAGAAGAUGAGUGUCUAGUUCACAGCGAGAAAAGCCAACCUUUGCAGAGAUGUGAGGGUGGAAAGGAACAGUUCAGGGCUUUCAAGGAUAACUCACCAGGGGGUUUCAGGGAAGAUUCUACUACAAGCAGCUGCUUAGCCAAAGAUUUAGAUGCAACCUAUUUAUUAAAACCGUGCUCCCAGGAAAAAACAGUGAGGGAGUGGGGGAAGCCAGUGUAAUGGGUGGUAUGAAAACAUAACCCAGCUGAGCCAAUAACAUGCAAAAAGUUGUUUGCUUGGACUUCUGGGAAACAAACUUCUCAUCAAAAGGUGCUGGCUUGAACUGCUUUUCAUCGGGCUUUGGUGGUGUGUCAGGCCUGAGACUUCCGCAGCCACUUUGUUACCAUAAGUGGAGCAAGAUUGUAUAUCGAGCAGACACAGAGAAGCCGAAGCAGAGACAUGGGACCUGAUAAGAAUCCGUCCCUGUCACCCCUACCUGAAACUGGAAAGAGCGGGCAUAAACCAGGUUAAGAGAACAGAAGGAGAAGUGGCCAGCUGGGCUGGAGGACCUGAGGAGAGCCAGUGUGCCCAGAGGAGAGCAGUACAGAUGGGGAAGGCAGGCGGUGAUGGCCGUGGCACCAGUUCCCCAACACACUGAUGGUUACUUUGUCAAAAGAGUUGAGAAUCACUGAUCUUUAUGAGCAAUGGCUUUGUGAAAUCUAUUAUUGCUCUUGGCUGCAGCAGCUGUGUGUAACUUCA